rnacentral:lncRNA from 1 species
AAAAGUUAAGGGGAAAAAGAAUUGUCUUUGUUGGUGAUUCAUUAAGUAGGACUCAAUGGGAGUCUAUGAUAUGCAUAUUGAUGACUGGUGUUGAGGACAAGAAGAGUGUAUAUGAAGUCAGAGGAAGAAAGAUCACUAGGCAGAUUAGGCAUUUACAAGUUCGAUUUAGAUCCUUUAAUUUUACAGUUGAGUUUUAUGAGGAAGAAAGAUCACUAGACAGAUUAGGCAUUUACAAGUUCGAUUUAGAUCCUUUAAUUUUACAGUUGAGUUUUAUAGGUCAAUUUUCCUAGUACAACCUGGAUCGCCACCAAAACGUUCACCAAAGAGGAUCA